AGCCUUGUGGUGGAGUACACAUCGGAUUGCAAAUCUGAAGACGCAGAUUAAACCUCUGCCGGGGCUU
rnacentral:tRNA from 1 species